UGAAAAUGAACAAUAAAUCUAACUUCAUUUAAUUUUCCAAAACAGAAAAUCAGAAAAAGAUAAAUCUGCAGACAUCGCAUUAAGCAUCUUUGCAUCAGAAAUUUCGAGCAUAUUUCAUAUAGCCAAGAAAGUGUAGGUGACCAAAUCCAGUUCAUCUCCACCACCGGACCAACUUUCAAGUCAUAAAGUUCAGCUCAAAACGGAACCUAAGAGAGAGAGAGAGAGUUUAGCUUAAAAAGUCAGUUGAAGAUUACACAUUUCUGCCUCUAAGGAUGUACUUUAAUACCAUAUAAGCACUAAAGAAUGCUAAAUGAUAAAGUUACCAUCAUAUUAUUAUAAAAACUUGAAAGGCAACCUCAAGAUCUUCUUCUACCCUUGGACAAAAGAGGGAUAAAUAAUCCACUCUACAGUUACCUCACAAAAAUCGCAAAAAUAUAGACACAAGGGAAAGGGAUAUUGCAUAUAAAGUUACAUCCCAACAGAAGAGCAGGCUUAAACCUCCCAAUACUAGUGAAAUCAGCAACUUAAGGAACACCCCAAGUCUACCCUGCCGAAACAACUAAAUAGGAGUAUAGAUACACCCAAAUGAGAUACAAAAAAGAACGUAGAAAAAACCAAGGCCGAACAUAGAAAACCACACUGAAAUUUGAGGUUUAAGUAAGUUGCCAAGAAAACUACAAACUCACUCUAUAGAUUAAUCAAAAACCUAAAACUCUUCAGGGAGCAAAACUUCAGACAUCUUUUUACCACCGGAAUGCCAAGCACAAUUUUUGCACUGACACUGAAAGCAGAAACAAAGCCAUUAGUCAGAGACAGUCCACACCACAGUGCCCAAACCUACUAAACGAAUUUGCUUACAGAAGAACAAAACAGAAAUAGGAAGCAAAAUCAGCACAAAGAGUUUCACUCCAAACUUGAGAAGUCACACCCACAGAUCUAUAUACAAAACACCCGAGAAUCUACACAACAGCAGAGAAAUCCUACAAUUGCAGCUCUUUGUUAGGAGGAAUAGUAACUUAACUAACCAACUUCCAAAUUCCCAAAAGAUUGACCAACAAAUACCACAAUUGUCAAAUAACCAUAAAUCUUACUUCCAGAUUCCCAAUAGAUUGACCUACAAAUACAAUAUCCAACUUGUAUCACUCAGUCAAAAUCCAAAAUCAUAAUCAAUAUACAAUAUCCAAACUGUAAGAUUCAUCAAGGAAAACCGAAGCAAAGAUAAAGAGAACCUCUGACAGAAGGCCCCUGCACCAAUCUGCUUGCCAAAUCCUUCAUAAAUGUCUUAUAUCUUUCAACUCCAAACCAAUAACCACAAACAGCAUCCAUAAUAAUUAUCUGACCCCAAAAUGUUGACAAAUCAGAGAAAUGCGAACCUUCUAAACACCUGUUCGCAACUGCUGCCAGAUAUUCCUUAUCCUUCUUCAAAUGACUUCAAACACAACAUCUACAAUGAUAAAUUAGCAUGCUCACACCAUACCUACUAAGAGCUCUAAAGCUGAAAUCUACAGAAAAAAUUACAACGUAAAGACAGAGAAAGUCUCAAAAAUCUUUGCUGAGUACAGGAUUUCCAGACCCUGAUCAUAGAAUGCCUCAUAAGUAAUAGCAAGAAGUUCAAAAAAUAUUAAAUACCAAUAGGAAUCCGCCUUAGAACUCCACCAAGCAAAAGUUCAACUCACCAAAUCCCUAAGAACAAAAUAAGCACCAACACUAACAUUAAAACAGAUAUGAAUACAAAUAUUACAAGGAAAAGAAAAUGAAGAAGCUAAAAGUGAAAAGUCCUGCAAAAACCACAAUGACCAGAGCAAGAAAGGUAGACUAAUAUAUUAAUACAGUUAGCAAUACAGAACUUGAUCUUCUCUGGUUCUCUCCCCUACUUCUAUUUCACCCUCGUUUUCCCUUGUUCCUCCCUAUUUGCUUCUGUCUAUUGCUGAUCUUCCCUCUAAAUUUCUAUUUUCUAUUUCCUUCCCCUACUGGUUCUUACAUCAAAAUAUAACAGAACUUGAAACUCUGUAAUAAAAGCCAAAAGCAGGUUCUCAACACAUACCACUCUUAGAACUACACGCACACAAACAUAAAAGAAAAGUAAUGUUCAAAAUUGAUCACUGCCUGUCAAACAUCGAGAUAAAAACCUGUUUUUGAAUUAUUAAGUAAAGAUGCUACCUACAAUCAUAAAACCAUUCAUAUAGAUAUCAAUCACAACAAGAAGAAAGUGUCCUCAGAACUGUGCCAGCUAGAAAGAACAUCUGCAUUCUACUGAAACUAGCUAGUGUAUAUAGAAAUGACAUCAGAACGUGAAACUACCACAAAAACCAGCUCUUACUUAGAGUUUAGGGUAAAUGUAAAUGUAACCCGAUAGAAUUGAAAUGGCCAUCCUCCCCUCCUCAUCUACUUACCUAAUCCCUCCAUCCCAAGUUCAUCAACAAAGAUACAAGCAUAUAAGAUCUCAUUCUCCCUGCGUAAUGCUAAUAAUCCCUAACAGCAGCCUCUGAAGACCCAAGAAUCAAGAACACGUAUGGGCAAAAAAAAGCAACCAAAAGCAACAUAUGGCUUGAAAACCUAAGAACUACAAAAACUCAGACACAAAGAAUACAAAAUAUGAAGAACAUUUGACAAAACAACCCUCUUGCAACAGCUGUGCAAUAUCCUUCAUCCUUUCUCCUUUUAGUUUUGAAAAAUGAUAACAUCAACAUCUAAAAUAAUAAAGGGUUAAUAACAUCUUAUCAUGCUCAGUAACGUAACUCCACAGGAUCCUAAAAUCUCCAAAACGAAAGACUACAAAUAAAUACAAUAAGAAGGAAACAAAUCUCAUUGAGGGUUGAAAUAGUAUUCUAAAUUCAAAAAUCCAAGAGACCCCUUAUCAAACACAACCAUAAAAGAUAUUGAAAGCAUUAAAAACUAAGAGGCCCUGAAACAAGGGUGGAAAAGUAUCAAAAAAUAACAGACAACAUAUAUAACCGUAGUAUAAAUUGUGCUAUGUGCUGAAGGUAGGAUCUAAAAUAAUAAAAGGGUCAAUAAUGCUCAGUAACAUAACUCCACAGAAUCCUAAAAGCUCCAAAACAAAAGACAGUAAAGAUAUACGAUAAGAACCAUGAAGAAGAUCUCCUUGAGAGUUGAGACAGUAUUCCAAAAUUGAAAAUCCAACAGACCCUGAUCAAACAAAACCAUAAAAGAAAUCUUGAAAAAAACUAUAUAAAUACAAUUUCUAGCAACAUACUUCAUUUCUGCUACUUAGACAUACAAAAACUAUCAACUUUCAUAACUAUGCAAAGAUCGAAAUCGGAUACUGAGAACCAAAUGGAAAACAAAACCUCAACUGACAGAACUUGUAAACUCUGCGUGGAUCUCUCCAACCUACAAACACAAACAAAUCUGAAAAGAAUAUAAAUCCCACAAUAAGAACUCAGUCGGACAUUUAUACGAACCAGUUAAAAGUACACGUCAAAAAUCCAAGAAAUGAAAGCACAA
rnacentral:lncRNA from 1 species